CCCUCGUCACUCCACACCUAUGAUGAGCAAGCUGUGAAAAAAAGGAGGAACAAUCCGGCCCGGGCUCGGGCUGCGGCAGCGUGGAGACCUGUCGCAACGCAGCGCAUCCCGUCGCGGAUGCCUGUGAGCACACAGCAAGCGGAGGCUCUGUGUGCGGAGCCAGGAAAACAUGGCA
rnacentral:ncRNA from 1 species